rnacentral:rRNA from 1 species
GACGAACGCUGGCGGCGUGCCUAAUACAUGCAAGUAGAACGCACAGUUUAUACCGUAGCUUGCUACACCAUAAACUGUGAGUUGCGAACGGGUGAGUAACGCGUAGGUAACCUGCCUGGUAGCGGGGGAUAACUAUUGGAAACGAUAGCUAAUACCGCAUAAUAUUGAUUAUUGCAUGAUAAUUGAUUGAAAGAUGCUAUUGCAUCACUACCAGAUGGACCUGCGUUGUAUUAGCUAGUAGGUGAGGUAACGGCUCACCUAGGCGACGAUACAUAGCCGACCUGAGAGGGUGAUUGGCCACACUGGGACUGAGACACGGCCCAGACUCCUACGGGAGGCAGCAGUAGGGAAUCUUCGGCAAUGGACGAAAGUCUGACCGAGCAACGCCGCGUGAGUGAAGAAGGUUUUCGGAUCGUAAAGCUCUGUUGUAAGAGAAGAACGGGUGUGAGAGUGGAAAGUUCACACUGUGACGGUAUCUUACCAGAAAGGGACGGCUAACUACGUG